AUUGAACGCUGGCGGCAUGCCUUACACAUGCAAGUCGAACGGCAGCACGGGAGCAAUCCUGGUGGCGAGUGGCGAACGGGUGAGUAGAGCAUCGGAACGUGCCCAGUCGUGGGGGAUAGCCCGGCGAAAGCCGGAUUAAUACCGCAUACGACCUGAGGGUGAAAGCGGGGGACCGAAAGGCCUCGCGCGAUUGGAGCGGCCGAUGUCAGAUUAGGUAGUUGGUGGGGUAAAGGCCUACCAAGCCGACGAGCUGUAGCUGGUCUGAGAGGACGACCAGCCACACUGGGACUGAGACACGGCCCAGACUCCUACGGGAGGCAGCAGUGGGGAAUUUUGGACAAUGGGCGCAAGCCUGAUCCAGCCAUGCCGCGUGCGGGAAGAAGGCCUUCGGGUUGUAAACCGCUUUUGUCGGGGAAGAAAUGCUCCGGGAUAAUACCCUGGGGAGAUGACGGUACCCGAAGAAUAAGCACCGGCUAACUACGUGCCAGCAGCCGCCGUAAUAC
rnacentral:rRNA from 1 species